rnacentral:rRNA from 1 species
CCUACGGGUGGCAGCAGUGAGGAAUAUUGGUCAAUGGGCGAGAGCCUGAACCAGCCAAGUCGCGUGAGGGAGUACUGCCCUAUGGGUUGUAAACCUCUUUUGUCGGGGAGCAAAAGCCGGACGUUUCCGGCUGUGAGAGUACCCGCAGAAAAAGCAUCGGCUCACUCCGUGCCAGCAGCCGCGGUAAUACGGAGGAUGCGAGCGUUAUCCGGAUCUAUUGGGUUUAAAGGGUGCGCAGGCGGAUUUUUAAGUCAGCGGUAAAAUCGUGGGGCUCAACCCCAUCCAGCCGUUGAAACUGGGGAUCUAGAGUGUGCGAGAGGUAUGCGGAAUGCGUGGUGUAGCGGUGAAAUGCAUAGAUAUCACGCAGAACCCCGAUUGCGAAGGCAGCAUACCGGAGCACAACUGACGCUCAGGCACGAAAGCGUGGGUAUCGAACAGGAUUAGAUACCCCUGUAGUC